UUUACCUGCUGCCUCUGCAAGGCUCUGCACCCGACCUCGCAGUGUCUCCUCUCUGAUGACGGCCUCUUCAUCGCACCCCUUCAAGCACUGGAGAAUUGGAAGCCCUGGGAUGGAGAGUCCUGGUCUGGAUCGGUUCCCAGACUUCCCCCCCACUACCCCCCAAAACCACCGGUCCUGCAUCCCCAACAAGCUCAGCUAACAUCCACGAGGUUGUGACGGAGAGCGUUUAUAUGUUGAGACACACAGAGAGAAUGAGAGAAACAGAAAGAGAGGGAAAACGAAGCAGACAGUGAUGAAAGGUGCAAAAACAGAUUUGACAGCCAGUCCGUCUCUGCGCUGACAUCUGCCAGCCGACGAAUCCCAAUUACUGCCCCUUUCCUGAAGCUAACUCACAGCAUGAAUACAAGAAUAAAACUCUGACAGGAAAAGUUGUUUCUA